rnacentral:rRNA from 1 species
AGCGGACGCUGGCGGCAGGCCUAACACAUGCAAGUCGAACGAACCUUUCGGGGUUAGUGGCGGACGGGUGAGUAACACGUGGGAACGUGCCUUUAGGUUCGGAAUAACUCAGGGAAACUUGUGCUAAUACCGAAUGCGCCCUUCGGGGGAAAGAUUAAUCGCCUUUAGAGCGGCCCGCGUCUGAUUAGCUAGUUGGUUGAGGUAAUGGCUCACCAAGGCGACGAUCAGUAGCUGGUCUGAGAGGAUGAUCAGCCACAUUGGGACUGAGACACGGCCCAAACUCCUACGGGAGGCAGCAGUGGGGAAUCUUGCGCAAUGGGCGAAAGCCUGACGCAGCCAUGCCGCGUGAAUGAUGAAGGUCUUAGGAUUGUAAAAUUCUUUCACCGGGGACGAUAAUGACGGUACCCGGAGAAGAAGCCCCGGCUAACUUCGUG